rnacentral:rRNA from 1 species
GAUGAACGCUGGCGGCGUGCUUAACACAUGCAAGUCGAACGGAAAGUCCUUGUUCUUGUGGCGUGCUCGAGUGGCGAACGGGUGAGUAACCCGUGAGUAACCUGCCCUCGACUUUGGGCUAACGUCAGUACACCGGGGCCAAUACCGGAUAAGAGGUCAUGCUGCAUGGUGGGGGUUGGCAAGUUUUGGCGGAUGGGGAUGGACUCGUGGCUUAUCAGCUUGUUGGUGGGGUCGUGGCUUACCAAGGCUUUGACGGGUAGCCGGCCUGAGAGGGUGACCGGCCACAACGGGGCGAAGGUGACGCCGCGAAGACUACGGGAGGCAGCAGUAGGGAGGAAUGCACAAUGGGCGGAGACAGGAUGAAGGAGCACCGCCGGGGGGAUGACGGCCUUCGAGGUGUCGUCCGCUUUCGCCUGUGAAGAAGAAUGAGUGACGGUAAUGGGUAAAGAAGCACCGGCUAACUACGUG